UCCUCCUUUGUCAUUUCCUUGGCUGUUUCUAAUGUACUAGCAUUGUCCAUCUCGUUGUUUGUUAUUUUCUAUUUACGCGCAUUCUUAUUAUUCGUAUAUCUUCCGUGUUUUUUCCAUUGUCAUUGAUGUUUCAAAAACCAUGAAAUUCUAUUAAUUGUUUUGAAUGGAUUUCAAAAGAGGCUACCAAUUUGUUAAAAAAAUUUGCAUUUUCUUAUUCUUUCCAUGUUAGUUAUUAAUGGCUUUACACAUUCAAUGUUCAUUUGAGGUCGUAUUGGUUGUCAAAGAAGGACGUCCCCAUUCACGAAGAUACUCUUUUAAGAGUUUAGGUAAUUUCAAAUGGAUCAACAAACCCUUCUUGGAGUCCAUUCACAAUGGCCUAACGUCAGAUGCUCUUCACGUUAGAGGCACUAAUAAACGACAAUAAGCAUCUCCUACAGAUACCGUACAAUACAAAGUAUAGAAUUAGGUAGCUUGCAUAUUUUUGGAUGAUACACGAAUCUGAUCUUGUGUGUCGCGAAGGCACUCGCAUGGACAGGCGAACAUUCACAAUUCUAUGCCACUUACUUAGGACUGUAGCUGGUCUUUCAUCGAUAGAGAUCAUUGUCGAUGUUGAGGAAAUGAUUGUGAUGUUCUUGAGACCACAACCAAGUGGUCUCACUAGCAUGAAGAAUUAGCUGAAGCAAUGUUCACAAAAUGACAGUUCCGUAACGCUUAGCUAAAAUGCAUUUAAAAUUAGAACCCAUCGGUUGUAUGCCAAUUUAAAUGACCUUUACUCCGUAUUUUUUUUCAUAUGUAAUGUAACCGUGCAUACUUUACAUAAAUUAUAUGUCAUAAUAUUGUUUCCCAGUCGUUUCAGUUUUGUAAAUGUCGAAAUGUAAAAUUACUAACUGGUUUUAUGUAUUUUUUUUUGUCUUUUGUCGUUUGUCAUUCUCAGUAUGUCAACCUCGUCCCGUGCCCCGAAGCAUGUAUAGACUAAGGAGGAGGAGGACAUUCUUGUAGAGUGUUUAGUGGACUUGGUGUCCAUGGGAUGAUGAAAAUCCGACAAUGGUACGUUUUAGCCAGGUUACCUAGCCCAAUUGGUAGCAU